CCAUUCCCCUUCAUUGCCGCAAUUGCUUUCUACCUUCAUCAUCCUGCACAUCUUCAUCUGUGUAAGCUCUCUCCCCUCUCUUUUCUUUCUUGUCAGUGUUAGUCUUCUUCAUCUGUGUAGCUCCUCUGUUUCCUAUCUGUUUUUUGCUGCAGUUCACUGAUUUUUCUCCCUGUUUCCGGCUCCUGCAGGCUUUCCAUCACUGAUUUGGUACUCCAGAGGCCAUCUUUAGAGCUAGGUGGCUCCCGUUGACUAUUGUUCAUUUCUACGUGUUCAUCCUCUUCCACCAUUUAGUGUCUUUACCCAUCCAUUCCAUCUCAUUUUCCACUCCUGAUAUACUUCUCCGGAUCAUUUUUCAUACUAGUGAUCCAUAAUCUAUGACCCAACAACUGCCCAAACAGAAUAUUCUGUGAACAC
rnacentral:lncRNA from 1 species